AUUGUACGCUGGCGGCAGGCCUAACACAUGCAAGUCGAGCGGCAGCGGGAAAGUAGCUUGCUACUUUUGCCGGCGAGCGGCGGACGGGUGAGUAAUGCCUGGGAAAUUGCCCAGUCGAGGGGGAUAACAGUUGGAAACGACUGCUAAUACCGCAUACGCCCUACGGGGGAAAGCAGGGGACCUUCGGGCCUUGCGCGAUUGGAUAUGCCCAGGUGGGAUUAGCUAGUUGGUGAGGUAAUGGCUCACCAAGGCGACGACCCCUAGCUGGUCUGGGAGGAUGAUCAGCCAACCUGGAACUGAGACACGGUCCAGACUCCUACGGGAGGCAGCAGUGGGGAAUAUUGCACAAUGGGGGAAAGCCUGAUGCAGCCAUGCCGCGUGUGUGAAGAAGGCCUUCGGGUUGUAAAGCACUUUCAGCGAGGAGGAAAGGUUGAUGCCUAAUACGUAUCAACUGUGACGUUACUCGCAGAAGAAGCACCGGCUAACUCCGUGCCAGCCGCCGCCGUAACAC
rnacentral:rRNA from 1 species